UUUGCACCUGUGCAAAGCUGACUAUUACCAUAACAGUUUUGAUGGCUACAGAUGGAAUGCGGUGGGUGGGAGUGGGGCAUCUAGCUCCCCGUGGGAGGUAGCAUUAACGUCUUAAUUAGGACGCAUGGGGGAAGAUUAAAAGUGCUCCAAGAUGACGAGGGAGGCAGCAAUGGGAAACUGGAGCUGAUCGUCUUUCCUAGUUCAAGGCUAAUUGCUGAAAGGGAUCUAACAUGGAUGUGCAGGGAAACACGGACGGGAAGCCAAUGGAGAGGUCCACAGUGAUGCGUAACCUCAAUAAAUAUUGCAGAUCCACAGAGACAUCCCCCAAUUUGUCCGCUGGUGAUUCAUCUGGGAACUAAUAGUGGAAGACAAUAAGCAGUGAGAGGGACCAUCUGAAAGACAUCAGUAAACAUGUUACAUGUUCAGCCAAUUUCAUAUUGUCCAUCAGGAAUAGAAGCCGAGGAGGAUGCAGUCUCCUCGCUGUAGGAUGAGCAAUGACAGUACCAGACACCCUUCAGGAAUCUAGUGGAGCUUCCAAAAUUGAGUUGCCAUAUGGCACUGAUGCUUAAAAAUUGUCUUGAGACAGGUAACAGCAUCAACUCAUAUGUCAUGCCUGUCAGCUACAUUGACUUGCUGUUAAAACUUUGAUAAUGACCUCCAUCAACAUCGGUUGAGUAUUAGAAGAGGAGCAAAACAAUUGAAAGAAGACCAAAGUCAUCAUUAGGGGGAUUUUAGGUUGAGAUCCUCUUGCUGAAUCCUCAGGCCAUCAAAUUGAGGAUUUAGAAGGCCUUAGGCGGCAGUUAUGGCUCCCUACAGAAGCUUCCUCGUGAUGCCGAGUGGCGACUCUUGAAGGUCGGGGGAGGAAAACCAAUUUGCAGGAAAAAAAAAAAGGUUAUUUCAAAAACCCUGGCGAACGACCGCAGCUCACUUUGAAAUGGAGCAUCAAUCAAGCCUCUUGCUCUCUUUGCUGUAAUUACUGGGAAAUGUUAUAAAUUUUGGGAAGUUUUGAGCGCUGAAAACAUUGAAGGAUAAACACGUUUUUUGUACCAGGAGAGAGUGAGUCACCCAGUGAGGUGAAUUAUUGAGACAUGAUAAAGUUUGAGUUACUGCUCUUAAUAAAGUGGGUUCUUUUUCAAAGUAACUGACAAGAUUCUAUAGAUUCUACCUUUUUGUGUAGUGUUAAUAUGUUAAAAUUAAAGUAAAUGCAUGCUAGGUCUGCUGCUAGGAUGAUGUGAGUUUGAGCAGUAAAAUCAUCCACACCCUCGCACAUGUGCAGAUUACAUUAUGCUUCCAGUCCUACCACAGAAAACCUGUGUAAUUUAUAGGCAAAUAAAUCUAUCCCCUUCCUUACAAUUAAACCCUCAACUCUAAAGGGUGGCACAAGAGAGGUCUCGUUUCA